rnacentral:rRNA from 1 species
UACGUAGGGUGUAAGCGUUGUCCGGAAUUAUUGGGCGUAAAGAGCUCGUAGGCGGUUUGUCGCGUCGAAUGUGAAAACCCGGGGCUCAACCCCGGGCCUGCAUUCGAUACGGGCAGACUAGAGUUCGGUAGGGGAGUCUGGAAUUCCUGGUGUAGCGGUGAAAUGCGCAGAUAUCAGGAGGAACACCGUGGCGAAGGCGGGACUCUGGGCCGAUACUGACGCUGAGGAGCGAAAGCGUGGGGAGCAAACAGG